rnacentral:rRNA from 1 species
AUACGGAGGAUCCGAGCGUUGUCCGGAUUUAUUGGGUUUAAAGGGUGCGCAGGCGGCCAUUUAAGUCAGCGGUUAAAUCGUGGGGCUCAACCCCAUUCUGCCGUUGAUACUGGGUGGCUUGAUUGCGGUCGAGGUUGGCGGAAUUCGUUGUGUAGCGGUGAAAUGCAUAGAUAUGACGAAGAACACCGAUUGCGUAGGCAGCUGACCAGAUCGCAAAUGACGCUCAUGCACGAAAGUGCGGGGAUCGAACAGGAUUAGAUACCCUGGUAGUCCGCACAGUAAACGAUGAAUACUUGUUUUCGGCGAUAUAAUGUCGGAGGCAAAGCGAAAGCGAUAAGUAUUCCACCUGGGGAGUACGCCGGCAACGGUGAAACUCAAAGGAAUUGACGGGG